rnacentral:rRNA from 1 species
GAUGAACGCUGGCGGCGUGCUUAACACAUGCAAGUCGAGCGAGUGAGUUCUUCGGAACGAUCUAGCGGCGGACGGGUGAGUAACACGUGGGCAACCUGCCUCAUAGAGGGGAAUAGCCUCCCGAAAGGGAGAUUAAUACCGCAUAAAAUUAUCGAGUGGCAUCACAUGAUAAUCAAAGGAGUAAUCCGCUAUGAGAUGGGCCCGCGGCGCAUUAGCUAGUUGGUGAGGUAACGGCUCACCAAGGCGACGAUGCGUAGCCGACCUGAGAGGGUGAUCGGCCACAUUGGGACUGAGACACGGCCCAGACUCCUACGGGAGGCAGCAGUGGGGAAUAUUGCACAAUGGGGGAAACCCUGAUGCAGCAACGCCGCGUGAGUGAUGAAGGUCUUCGGAUUGUAAAGCUCUGUCUUUGGGGACGAUAAUGACGGUACCCAAGGAGGAAGCCACGGCUAACUACGUGCCAGCAGCCGCCGUAAUAC